UUUAUUAACUAGGUUAUUUAUUACCAGUAUGAAUUUGUAAGUUUUUUUCAUUUAUUUUGUUUAUUUUAUUACAUUACCCUUUUUUUAUAUUUUAAAUGCAAGCAUAUUUAAAUAUUUACAUUUCAAUGGGUCAUCUUGCCCCCCACUUCCAACACCUCUAAUCCUUGGGAUGUGGUGAGUCUGCCCUCCCUCAGAUGCAGAACAGGAGUUCCUUCUCCUGUGCCCCUCCCCUUAGUUUUGGAGGGGACAGAUCUGUGUACACUUAGAAAAGUUGUACAAAUAAUUAAACUCUGACUCUUCGUUACUCAGCUAUGAAGUUGUAAAGCGUGAGAGUCAGAGCUGCCCAUCCUGUGGAGUGGUGGUAGGAGGAAGAGAGGGGAUAUGGAGCUCAUUGGACACAGACCUGCCUCCCUGUAUUAUGAUUUGUCCUCCAAAGCCAAAUGACAGGGAGGGAAAGUGAACAGUCUGAAAUGUGGGUGGCACUUCAUUUCCUUUGCAUCACCUCUAAAAUAAAACACAUUUGUCCCAUCUCUCUGGCAAGGUUGAGAGGUGACCUUCCUUGCCUUUCCACACUGUCCUCCCCGGUGCUCUUGGCCUGCAGGCUGCUGUCUUCAUCAAACCAGGCUAAGAAAUAGAUGCAAGAAAGAUCCGUCGGAGGCCGGAUCUCUUACUGUUCUGAAUGUGAAGUAGCACAUUGGAUACCAUUACAGAAGACCUAGGCGCUGUGUUGAAUAUUCUUAUUCACUUUCUCCUGCGUAAAACUCAACAGCGUGUUUCUCCAUCCUUUCUCCCUGCAUUUGCCAAAAGAGGCCACGCUGAACUGGAUCUGCGGUCAUGGAAUUCACCUUACUGAUGCCUAUUCAGGAUGGCGGGCCGAGAGGAAGUAAAAUACCUAGCUAGCAGUGUGUGCUGUACGCCCUUCUAGAUUAUGUGUCGACCGCCAACAAAUGCUGUGAUAGGCUCUUCUUGAUAGCUCUAAUCUCAGUUAAAGUCUUUAGAAGUCCCACAUUUUCAAUACAAACCUCACAGAAUCAUGACAUAAAGGGAAAGCACACAGUUGAAUCUGGAUAGGAAAGUUCUGGCUCCCCAGCAAUAGCUCUGAGAAUUUGCAAGGGGCACCUAAACUUUUUGGGUUGUAGGGUGUUAUCACCAAUAAAUGAAGUAUUUGGAUUA